GAUGAACGCUGGCGGCGUGCCUAAUACAUGCAAGUCGAGCGAACAGACGAGGAGCUUGCUCCUCUGACGUUAGCGGCGGACGGGUGAGUAACACGUGGAUAACCUACCUAUAAGACUGGGAUAACUUCGGGAAACCGGAGCUAAUACCGGAUAACAUCUUGAACCGCAUGGUUCAACAGUGAAAGACGGUCUUGCUUUACCUUAUAGAUGGAUCCGCGCCGCAUUAGCUAGUUGGUAAGGUAACGGCUUACCAAGGCAACGAUGCGUAGCCGACCUGAGAGGGUGAUCGGCCACACGGGAACUGAGACACGGUCCAGACUCCUACGGGAGGCAGCAGUAGGGAAUCUUCCGCAAUGGGCGAAAGCCUGACGGAGCAACGCCGCGUGAGUGAUGAAGGUCUUCGGAUCGUAAAACUCUGUUAUUAGGGAAGAACAAAUGUGUAAGUAACUAUGCACGUCUUGACGGUACCUAAUCAGAAAGCCACGGCUAACUACGUG
rnacentral:rRNA from 1 species